GAGACACGGAAAAGACAGUCAAGUCCUCGCAGUUAACCAGCUUCUUCAUCAUUCUGAGAGGAGCUGAACGUCUGAGUGAUCCGCUGACCUGCACGCCGGACAGUUUCCAGGUAAAAAAAAAGAAAAGAAAAAAAGACCCAAUCAAAAACACCUGUUGCGUCCGGCUGACCUGUGAUUAUCAGCGCAACCCGCAGUGCUCAGUAUCAUUAACCAGCAGGACUACAACCUAACAGCCGCAUGCUGGUGGGCCUGACCUCUUCAUGCAUCUGCUGUCCGAGCAGGGUCUGAUCUCCAGAGGAUUUCAGCGGUUCCUUUAAGAACAUUGCCCAAACUGAAGCCGAUCACCUGUCCACAGAAGCAGCCACUUUUCUGGCUAUUCAGGUGUAGCUUCCAGUAGUUCAGUUGUGACAUAUCCCAUGGAGGGCAUGGCAGUGGUGUUACCACUUGCAGACAAACCUUCAGUAUUUCAGGUAUGUUGGUGAACCAGCUCUGCUCUACUCUCAGAGGAAGGGUGUGACUGUACUUUUCUUGAGAGUGGCACAAUUUAAUUAAAUCUCUGACGAUAAAAAGCUACCUGCUGCUGGCACCAACCACUUCACACAAGGAAGUUAUCGCACACUGAGCACAUGACUUACUUUAACACAAUGAAAGGAAAAAUGAUUGCUUGUUUUCCUAUGCAGCAAUAAAAAUGAAACAGCACUUUCUGCUGUAUUGGUGUUGCUUUUAUUUAGCAUGGCUGAAAUCACCUAAAUGACACUUAAAACAUGAAGCAGAAGAGUGAUAUUAAACAAACCUGGACGUCAAUCACAGUUCAAACUGAUUUUUUUAAAUUGUCUUUCUAGGUGUAGUUUCUUGAAGUCGAAGGUUUUCAAGAUGACUCAUAAAAAUCCAGAGGUUUUGAGCAGUUUCUGCCUUUGGAAACUCAAAACCUGUACUACAGGUAAAUCUGUGGUUACAUGUGCGAAGGUCAGAGGUCACUUGAGGUUUCAAACAUUCUGCAUUACGGGAUCUGCCACUUCAGGCGGGCCCCAGAGGGGGCUACUGCGGGAGGUGCUGUCAGAGUGAAACUAAGUUGAUUGAAUAUCAUGACCAAUAAACUGUGACCUUUAACACUAAAAUCCCCCCUGUAUUCUUAUUAAUGACUGAAGCUGUGGGAUGUAGUGGGCAUGGCAGGUGAGAUCUGACUGGCCUACAGCUUCACAAAUUCAUGGUGUAAAUGCUGAUGCAAUUUAUUACAUUUUGAGAUGCUACAAGUAAAAGCAACUUAUUAAAUUCAUUUUACUUAAAAAAAAAAAGUCCAACAUGUUGAUUCAUGAUUGGUAGAUUGCAUAAAGCCCUCGAUCAAAGAAAACAGACAACACAUGAAACCAAAGUCACAUCUGAAGCACAACAUACACAAAUACACGUCACUGUGAUCUGUACCCUCGCCAACUGGAAGCAUGUCCACUAGGUGGUGCUCUCAUCAAAGAAUAAAUUAGACCCACCUCAGUGGGUGCGCCAGCUCUGCUACAACCACAACUUUAACCGCCCCCCCCCCCAAUUUGUAAAGUCCCUGAAAAACAACACGUAUAUGGCACAGAUCCCAUUCAGCAAGUCGCACGUACUAUAAUUCAAUGAUGGUUGCACGUUUGUUCAACGCACUGCAGACGAGAGAAAAUGGUUUCUGCUAACAGCACGGGGGCUUGUUCUCCACGCAGAUUUAUAAUUUCAGCAACAUUUAUUACAAAGCAAAAGCUCUAAGCAGCACCAGAUGCUCAAUGAGUGAAUCAUUUUGAGGCAAUCAAACAUUUCAGCAAUGUGCUCUUCAUUAUCCGUUUUUUUUUUUUUUUUUUUUUUUUUUUCAUAUAACCAAAAAUAUCAGGCCCUGAAGAAGUAGAAAACAAAACACUAGAAUAUGUCAAUACGAGCCGUCUCCUGUCUGCAAGUAGGAAGUAUAAGACAGGGAAGUCCUGGAAGUGACAGCGGGGAAGCUUGGUCAAUGAAAACUGAGGAAACCAUGUGAAGAAAAAAGAAAUGUACAAAAAUAUAAAGCUCCCUUUCUCAAUAAAGACAGUGAGUAGGAUACAAGGUUUCAUGGUGGGAGAACCCAACAGUUUCCACAUGAUUUGGUCUGACAAAUGUAAAACACAUGAACGCAGAUUUAAACACAGCAUCUGAGCUUGAACUCAGGUUUGACACACAGGCAACAUACAUGCAUUUCAUUUGGUACUGGUUCUUUUAUGUGCCAGCUGGAAACGACAAGCUCAUAUGAAAUACUGGCAGAAGAAUGAAAUACUGUACAGCAGGAUGAGCGAGCAGAUAUUUAGUUUCUACAGAGAGCGAUUAUUAUUGGCUGUUUGCAGCUUUAGCCCUUUCUGAUAAUAAAGAGGGAGCCAGUUAAUAUUGAUACAGAGCUGAAAUGCAUGUACACAUCUGUACACUCAGUAAGCAUGCACAUAGAAACAGUGAGUCAUAUACAGUCAUACCACUACAGUUUAAGAGUGACGGGGUUUAAAAAAAAAAAAAAAAAAAGCGCCCCUCACAAGCAAAAAGACGAAAACACGUCGAGCUGAUCGAUGUCCACGGAUCGCCGCAAAGCUCCACCUCUUCUGCGCUGGAACAAGGUGGUAAACGUAUGAAAGCCAGAGCUACCAGCACCGAAAUCAAGGCUUAUUUCUUUGUUUCAUAAUUACAGCAAAAAACAAAAUACAAUGCGUCCCUUCAGAGUCAAAGGCUGUGUGGCACAUGGGCAGGCCUCACAGGGCCUCGCUGCACAGCACGGCGAGACAGCAGAGGUGCAGCACGCUGUAACAAAGAAGCUGCCACGUUGGUAUCUAAGACACUGUAGUAGCCACGGUGGACCAGACGAGCAUGUCCCAUGAAGAGUCUCGAGGAACUGUGACGGUUACAUCCAGCAGAGGCUUUCAGCCCUUUGAUGGCACACGAUGACCACAGCAGGGGGGGCAGUUCCUUCAUUUACACAGCAAAGAAUCGUGGGAGAUUUCUUUUGGCCCGGCUUAAUGUCACGCCAGUUCAAAGAAAUAUGCAAUCACAUUUUACAAAUAAUUUAAAAAAAAAAAAAAAAAAAAAAAAAAAAAAA